GCAGUGCUAGCGCUCUCUUUUUGUUUCCCUUUGUUUAUAGUACUCGCUCCAGCUUUCAGGCCAUGCGCAAAUGCUCUGCUCCCAGCCAACUUGAAUUCAUUUCAAGGAAGAUUGCACAAGAAUUCAGCUCCGCUGCUCUGAGCCAGGCCUGCUGGGCUGGCUGUUUUGUCCUCUCGGGCCCCAGUCCUGCCGAAGGACCUGCUGGCACAAACCCCUGGAGCAUCCCUGUUUUGAAGUAAUUUGCAGGGACUUCAAAUCCCUUGAGAAAGCCCCAUUUUUCUCAGAGGUGGGAUUCAUCUCAGCUAGCCACAGAAGCCUCAAGUUGCGAGAGUGCUGCAAGCUCAUCAUUCUGGCUCUCCUGAUGGGGGAUGAAGAGGAGGAGACAUCUCGCAAAGCGUGACUCACUUAAGGUAAAUGGGACAAAUCUCCUGCUGGAAGUGCCCAUCUCUUUCCAUGGAGUAUAGCAGGAGCCUAGAAGAUUUGUUUAGUCUUGCUUGUCUACCUUAGAGAAGACUAACACUAAAUGGUAUGACCCACCCUGGAGAACUGACUUGCUGUCAGCCCUUGGGAGCAGCAGAGAAGGUGUCCUAGGACCUACAGUGAAUACACUGUGACAGGAGACAAGUGAGAGCUUGUGCAAGAUCCUGCCCGCUGUUCCCCCCUCUCCUCGUACAGUAUACGCCGUGGGGUGGACAUGCAGACAGACUUUAAGGUCUGAAGGGCUGCUGUGCUGCCUGUUCUCAUCUCUAAUGCAGCCUGUGCUCUACAUUUCAUCCAUUCUCUUGCUCCAACUCGGGGGUUUGCAUUUGGAUGCUACAACUCUUCCUUUGGCUCUGGGCUUCUGUUGCCGGUUCUUUGUUGUCGGCAGUCCCAUUAUAAAUCCUCGUGAAUGCGGAGACGCAGCCCUCCAAAUCAUUCUUUCUUCUGUGAUAUUUGCCGAGUGUUUUCAUUUAAGUCACGAUAAUAUUUUCCCCAUAUUUUCCAUUUUAACAUAAUGCUGAUAAAUGAUAUGACACUGAUAAA